rnacentral:rRNA from 1 species
AACGAACGCUGGCGGCAGGCCUAAUACAUGCAAGUCGAACGAUCUCUUCGGAGAGAGUGGCGCACGGGUGAGUAACGCGCGGGAACGUGCCCCUGGGUGCGGAACAACGUCGGGAAACUGACGCUAAUACCGCAUAAUGACUUCGGUCCAAAGAUUUAUCGCCCAGGGAUCGGCCCGCGUCUGAUUAGCUAGUUGGCGGGGUAAAAGCCCACCAAGGCGACGAUCAGUAGCUGGUCUGAGAGGAUGAUCAGCCACACUGGGACUGAGACACGGCCCAGACUCCUACGGGAGGCAGCAGUAAGGGAUAUUGGACAAUGGAGGAAACUCUGAUCCAGCCAUGCCGCGUGAGUGAAGAAGGCCUUCGGGUUGUAAAGCUCUUUCAGUGGUGAAGAUGAUGACGGUAACCACAGAAGAAGACUCCGGCUAACUUCGUGCCAGCAGCCGCGGUAAUACGAAGGGGGCGAGCGUUGUUCGGAAUCACUGGCUUAAAGCGUACG